CGGGACUGGCCAGUGUUGAGAGGCGGAGACUUGGGCAAUUGCUGGACGCUGCCCCGGGCAUUGCACUUGUCUCGGUCUGACAGUGCCGGCCCCACACUG
ensembl:miRNA MIR25 microRNA 25